rnacentral:rRNA from 1 species
GAUGAACGCUAGCUACAGGCUUAACACAUGCAAGUCGAGGGACCGGCGCACGGGUGAGUAACACGUAUCCAACCUGCCCUUUACUCGGGGAUAGCCUUUCGAAAGAAAGAUUAAUACCCGAUAUAAAGGAUGGGGAUGCGUUUCAUUAGGUUGUUGGUGAGGUAACGGCCCACCAAGCCUUCCAUGGAUAGGGGUUCUGAGAGGAAGGUCCCCCACAUUGGAACUUAGACCCGGUCCAAACUCCUACGGGAGGCAGGAGUGAGGAAUAUUGGUCAAUGGGCGUUAGCCUGGACCAGCCAAGUAGCUGGAAGGAUGAAGGCUUAUGGGUCGUAAACUUCUUUUAUAUAAGAAUAUGUAUUAUAUGAAUAAGGAUCGGCUAACUCCGUGCCAGCAGCCGCGGUAAUAC